GACGAACGCUGGCGGCGUGCCUAAUACAUGCAAGUAGAACGCACAGUUUAUACCGUAGCUUGCUACACCAUAGACUGUGAGUUGCGAACGGGUGAGUAACGCGUAGGUAACCUGCCUGGUAGCGGGGGAUAACUAUUGGAAACGAUAGCUAAUACCGCAUAAUAUUAAUUAUUGCAUGAUAAUUAAUUGAAAGGUGCAAUUGCACCACUACCAGAUGGACCUGCGUUGUAUUAGCUAGUAGGUGAGGUAACGGCUCACCUAGGCGACGAUACAUAGCCGACCUGAGAGGGUGAUCGGCCACACUGGGACUGAGACACGGCCCAGACUCCUACGGGAGGCAGCAGUAGGGAAUCUUCGGCAAUGGACGAAAGUCUGACCGAGCAACGCCGCGUGAGUGAAGAAGGUUGUCGGAUCGUAAAGCUCUGUUGUAAGAGAAGAACGGGUGUGAGAGUGGAAAGUUCACACUGUGACGGUAUCUUACCAGAAAGGGGCGGCUAACUACGUG
rnacentral:rRNA from 1 species